UACAGAGGUGGCAAGCGUUGUUCGGAAUUACUGGGCGUAAAGCGCGUGUAGGCGGCUCUUCAAGUCAGGCGUGAAAGCCCCGGGCUCAACUCGGGAACUGCGCUUGAUACUGUCGAGCUAGAGUGUGGAAGGGGCGAUUGGAAUUCCGUGUGUAGCGGUGAAAUGCGUAGAUAUACGGAGGAACACCAGAGGCGAAGGCGGAUCGCUGGGCCGACACUGACGCUGAGACGCGAAAGCUAGGGUAGCAAACGGG
rnacentral:rRNA from 1 species